AAUAGAGAAUUUUAAAUGCCUUACAGCAGAGAAUUGGCUAAAUAAUUUGUGGUUCACGUAUAAAAUGGAGUACCACAGAUUCAUCAAAAAUUAUGUUGAAAAAGGAUGUAUAUUGGCAUUUUAGUGUUUUGUUAGUACAUUUUAAAAACAACUUGCAAAACAUUAUGAUUCCAGAAGUGGAAAAACUAAGCCUGAAUAGAAAAAAGUCUGGAAGGAUAUACAUAGUGUUAAAGUGGUUUUCUCAAGAUGAAGAGCUUAUGAGUGGUUUUUCUUUGUGCCUAACUGGUUUUUAAAAACUUUUUCUCUUAAUAUAAAUGUAUUAGUUCUCUAAUAAAGAAAGCCAAUAAAAGUUAUAAAAUUCAAGACAUGUGUAAUUAAAUUCUAAUAAGAACUUAAGUGUUGUAGGUGUUAAGAGGGGAAAAAAAAAUUUAUGAGGGCUUGAGCAGCCAGGAAAGGUUUCACAGAGAAGGUGGAAUUUGAGUUGAAUGUCAAGGCUAGGAAGGAUCAGAGAGGAGAAAAUGUGGUGGGCCAUUCAACACAACUUUGCUCAAAGAAACUUGAAGAAAUUUUGCUGUAGACAGAAGUAAUCUGACAAUUUUAGAAUUAUUGUGAAAAGAAAGUCUUGAUGAUUUUAUUCUAACAAAAAUGAAGUUGAAAUUGAAUUGUUUUUCUCAUCCCACCUAAUGAUUUUUUGAGGGGCACAGAAUUGAGUUCACUAGCUCUAUAGCAAUUUCCUCCUACAAUAUAUGACCCUAUUUACCAUUUCUAAUCUAUUAAAAAAAACCCACCUGUUUAUGUGAUAGAAUUACACAAGGGCAUCCAACCUGAACACUGGUAACAGUCCUGUCCCCACGGGUAUGCAUCAGGCACAGUGCCUCUGUGAGUGGCAGAGACUGGGGCCUCAUCCGUCUCUUCUUUUUCCCAAGAUGCUUCCUACAUAGAUCUCCCACUGCACCACACACUGAGAAGCUCAGUUCAGUGUGUUUCAGGUGGUAGGUGUGUGUGGAAACCCAAUGACUCAUGCUUAGACUUGAUUCAGGCCUUUGGUGAUCUUGCAGACGGAUGAAAACAUGGAGGCGUGCUGUGUUCCAGUUUCACUUCAUCACCCUCUGGAUUUACAGCUCUGCCCAGUUCUGUCAUCAUUGCAGGCAAGAUCCUCUUGUAUGAUAGGAACCAGUAACAGUCACCAGACCAGAAUUUGAACACACACAUCCUUAAGGUGCAUCCCAAAGGUUGCCCCCUGACCCAGGAAGCCUUGGAACAUCACUCUCCUCUCCCCAGCCCAGGACCCCUACUCAGAGAUUGGCCAGUUCCUCCAUCAUUCUCUCCUCUUGUGUCAGCUUUGCCCUGAGAUCACCUUCUUGCCACCCAUUUCCCUCACACCCUGAGCCCUGUGAACUUGAACUGCAAUAAGCUUGAACCACAGAUGAAGAGUCUAAAUGUCCUGACCAACAAAAUCUCAUAAAUUGUGGGCUCAGCUCCUUGGGAAGUGGUAUGCAUGACUUCCUUCAUCAUAUUUAAGAUCUGAUGGAAUUAAUCGCUGAGGAACAUAAUUGAAGGAGACAGAAACAGAGUGGAACAGAGACCCAAGGAGCUGUUUUCCUCCCCAGGUACCAGGAUUUUUGCAACAAAUCAUGUAACCUUGUGCAACAAGUACAAAAAAGGAAAAGAAAAGACGGAGAAGAACAUUUCCCUUUGUGUCCUAUUGUGGGGCUACUUCAUUUGUAGAGAUGUAAUUGUAGCCUGAAGCGUGCACUUGGGAAUCUGUGUUUCUGGGAAGAUUGGAGCUCCUCCCAUAAAGAGCUGGAGGAGACUGUGACGAGAAACAAUCUUUCCAACUAGCGACUGCGACUGAAUGAAUUGAAGGAGAUGCCUUUUUGCUUUAAUUUUUCGCCACCCCCAACUCUGCAUUUAAGAAAAAAAAAAAGCGCUUUUUUUUCUUUGAGACUAUACCAGACUAGUUAAUAGAACAGGAUAAUUCUGGAUACAAGGCUCUGCAAAAUAGGAGAGUAUAAUGAGAGGCAUUUGAAUGGAUGUCAUUGUCUUUCACAAAGCAUGCUUUUGUCUCAUUGUUUUCACCUAAGACUUCUUGCAAAACAACGGGCUUUGAAAGUGCAAGAUAGGCUGCUUCACUCUUGAAGAGCUGACAGACAUCCCACCUUUUCCAGGAGGAUUGUGACUGGAGCUUCAAUCAUUUUUCUCCCCCGUUUCUGUGCAGUAGGUGCGACAAUUAGAGAGAACUGUGAGCUGACUAUCCUAUACCCAGUUCCAAUCCUGUCAGAAGGAACUAAAAAUACCCUGUGGUCAAACUAUAGUGAGUCCUGCUUCUAACGAGCUUGGGCUGAGGGUAGCCAGGGGGCGGUCAUGCCACCCACAGAAACAACAGCCAGAUGACACAAAACCAUCGCAUGAAAUUUCCUUCAUCUGAAAGCCUGCGACCUUUUUUAUGAUGCUGCACUUUGGUGAAACAAACAAACAAAAAAGUCCAUUUCUAAAUAUAGCCAGCUUUUGUAGGCUGUAGUUAGUCACGUUCCCACUUUGUAAAAAAUAUCAGAACGCAUUUUGGCAGAAAUUUUCAUCAUGAUACGUUUUUUUUUUUCCUUUCAGUUCCCCAUAUUUAAAACUCUGGUGACACAAACAUUAAGGUAUAUAACCAGAAAACCUCUUGUGUAUGGGGAAUUCUUCUGGAGUCAUGUGGUUCUUUACUUGACAAAAAUUUAUUGAGGACCUGAAUCAGGGGUUGUUCCAAGCCUCUGCUUCGAAUCAGUUUUCACUAUAGUCUUUUGUUCUUGGAGCUCUUUAGGAAAUCCCCACAUAGUUGGAAAAAAGGUGACUGCGCUCUCACCUGUAUAUGUGCCAUAGCAGAGAGCAUUGGAAACAAAACGGAGAUCAUCAAACACCUGCCUUGUGGGGCUCUGGUGGAUUUCAAAUGCAUUAAUACCCAUACAACAUCUAAUCAGAGUCUGUCAAGAGACAUCAUUACCACGUGGCAUGUUGCUUCAUGGCUGCAGUAUGGCUGCCUCUGCUCCAAGCAUCACGUUCACAUUCAAGGCAAAAGAAAGGAAAGGAAGAGUGGCACUAACGAUGUCUUUAUCAGGGAAAAAAACAAACAAACAUCAUUGCUCACAUCUCAUUGGCCAGGACUGUGCCUUAUGGAAAUCUUUUGUUGCCAGGAGGUUUCCUGGCCUCCACAGUAAAGGAACAAGGAGGAAAGAGGAAUAGGAAUGGCCAGCCAAUGCCAGCUGCCAUAUUUUGUAUAUCCAUAUGGCUAUUCCAUCAACUUCCCUGGCAUUAGGGAAGGAGCGGUGUUUUAUUGUUGUUGUUUGUAAUUUAAGUAAGCUCAAUACUCAGCAUGGGGCUUGAACUCACAACCUGAGAUCAAGAUUCACAUGCUCUACCUAUUGAGUCAGUCGGUCCCCCAGGGAAGGAGUCUUCUAAUACACCUCCCCAAAUCAUUCAGCUUUUAAAAUUACCUUUACUGUCACUGCUUGUAUUAAAAAUGGCAAUAGCAGCUGUAACUAUCAUUUACUGACUUACUGUGUGCCAGGCAUUGUGCUAGCUGAGUUUUCUACCUUUCCUUCAGCCUGGUUACAGUAAUCCUCCCUACAAGAGGAUAUUCGCCCUGUCCCUGUUUCACAGAUAAGAAAGCAAGCUCUCUGAGGCUGGAGAGGAUAAAUGGUUUGCCCAAGGCUACAUACUAAGAAGUGAUGGAGUUCGUGAACUUAAGUCCAUAUGGCUCUAAAGCUUAUGCUCUUCCCAAUGCAGGUACUGUGCCUUCAUACCUGGAUCAAAUCUGGCCUUGAGUGAUCCACACACAUGAAGGAAUAUGGAUUUUUUCAUAAUCACCAAACAUUCUUUUUAUAGCAGGCUGCAUCUAGUCCCUACUUGCUGUCCCCUUACAACUCUUUGAAGUCACUCAAGUGAAAAAAAAAAAGUCAUCCUCAUGUUGACCGCGUCUCCUGAGUGGUGUUGGUAAUUGGGCAGGGGCAGCCAGCUGGCCCUGGGACUCUGCCGGCCUCGCAUGAGCACCUUCUCCCUACGCUGUCUGGCUCAGCUUGGCAGCUUCCUGUUGCCAUCUUUCCAGGAAUUCAGCAAGGGCUCUGGGAAACCCAGGGGCCAUGCAAUUUGAAAAGAGGAAGUGCUAUGGUCUUGUUACUUCUCAACGAGAAAUGGACUUUUCAGUGGCAGGGCCAAGCCUCGAUUCCCUGGGGGAGACCGCGACUGAGCAAUGGUGCUCUGGGAAAAUGAUCAGGGAGCUCCACAAGGCCAUUUGGCAGCCCUUGGAUCCAAGUCUGCGAGAGACUGGCACCGGGAACGGACCUAUUACAGGCAGAGCGGGCCAUCCUUGUUCAAGUCUGAUUUACAGGAGAUGUGUCAACAUGCAGUAGAAAAACUAACCUCUGGCGCUCCUUAGAUGGAACUUUCUGUAAAAAGAAUGACCUGCUGUAAUUGUGAGGCUUUCCUUCUGCUCUAGAAAACCCCUGGGGGCAUUUCUGUACUGGAUUUAUAAGGCCAAAAUUCUCAAGCUUUACAGACCAGCCUCUAAUGGCCUUAGGGUUCUCUCAGACACUUUUGAGGUCCUUGCUGUGUGAUCCCUUGAAUAAUCAGGGGGCUGGUGGGGGUGAGGAGGUCUCCGGGGGAUCUAUUUCAAACCAUGGAAGCCCAGGUAACUAUAAUAAUAGCCUGUAGAUACAGGCUAGUCAGUGCUUAGAAUUCCCUCGAGACUCAAAGGUAAAUCAGAAAAAAUUUUUUUUGAUUUUGAGUCUUGCGAAUACUCAGUUUUGCUUGUAAGGAUGCAUUGGUUGCUUACUCUGAGGAGGCAGAUGAUCAAAGGUAACCCAGGGACAAUGCCUCUUCUGUCUACCAAGGGCUCCAAAUAGCCUCUGGCUUCUUUGGUUGGGUGCAAGGCAGAAUCGGGACUUUCAGUCAGGUAUCCCACUUUCUUGUCAGGCUUGUCUUAGGCAGUCAGCCCCCAUAAAAGGCCCCCAGGGACCAAAAGCCACAAAUGCACACUUAUUCUUCUUUUGGCUAUGGCAAACAAAGAAAACUCUGGUUCAGCCAUCUCUCUACCUUACCUAUGGCAUCUUCAUCCAUUGGCAAGAAGUCUCACAUACUGGGGACUCAGUCUCCACCAUGUACAAAUGCUGGUGGACUAGGGUGCAUGGUGCGGAAUCUCUGUACUCAAAGUCAGCCUAGAGCUCUGCUGUGAUUUCACAGCCACAGAUGAACUACAUUCUGCUUUUAGACUCCAGAAGAUUCCUAUGUUACUUGGUUCUAAUAAUGGGACCCUGAGGUUUCUAAAUUCAUAAUUUUAUAAAUAUUCCUUGUCUCCUUUUCCAAAGCUAACAAUUCAGAUAAGGCUGUAAACAUCUGAGGAGGGUCCUCUGAGGCAGCCCUCCAGGCUUAAAAUUCUCUUAGACUUUUCUUGCAAAGCAGCAGAUGACUUGGGGUUUAUCAAAUUUUCCAUGUCUAUUUUUGUCUCCCUCAGAAGGAAAUAACCUGAAUCUCAUGGCUUCUACCAUUAUAUCAUCUAGUGUGUCUCUUGUCUUAUUCCCCUUCACUCCCUUAAUUCUUUGUGACUUUUUGCUCUUUCAAGGGGAAAAUCCUUAGGGUAGAGAAGGGAAACGGGUCUGCUUGUCCUAAAAAUGGGCAGCCCUUCCCCAGGAGGCAGAAACAAAUCUGACAGUUGGGCAUGAGGUACAUUAUUUUCUCAGUCAGUUCGCAUUCAGCAAGUUUCUUCGUGAUAUCACCAUCUCUGUCUUCUUGUUUUUGGGCAAUUCAGCAGGAAAUGAGCAGCACAAUGCCUUCCCACAAAUGUGCCAGAAUGGAGGGACUGGUUUACCACAGACCUCCAACAGGUGAGGUUGCCUGAACAACUCAACUAGAUCGGGAUUGUUGUUUUAACUGUAAAGUCUACACGGGCUCUCCAGUGGCGUGAACCGAGGGCCCCUCGAUCCCUUCAGUGGAAGAUGUAUUCGGAGAUGUCUUUCCAGCUCAAGGUAGUUUCCCCUUCUCUGGGGAUGACCUUUACUUCACCAUUUCAUCCUCAGGAGGUGGCCUCCAGAAACCAUGCUCGUUUUUUUGGCCUUGCCUUUUGAUGUCUCCUUUGUGGCUUUAAAAGUGGGUUUCUGACUAACUCUGUGGUGAUUGGAGGCCUUUUCUCAUAUUUUAUCCCCUCACCGGAGUCUAUUGUGAUGAAAAUUCAAAACUGCAUCCUGCCUUCCUCUCACAUGUCCCAGGUCCCCCGACCCCCUUACUCGGUUCUCCUUUUCUUUCCCCAUGUUCUUCAUAUCUGACAUGCUUUGUCCUUUGUCUUUCCUGCUAGAAUGUAAACUCCUCGAGAGCAAGGCCCUACUUUGUUUACUGAUGCAGCCUGAGCACCUAGAUCAGUGCCUGACGUGUACUGUACCCAACAAAUAGUAGUUGGCUAAGGAAUGGGAGCUGAGGGGUGAUCAUGGUCUGUUACGUGGUCUAGAGAAGCAGGAAAAGCCAGCAGAGAGAAGAAAGACGCAGACUUACAGGGAGAGGUAAACAGGAGAACAAGAGCGUUCUCACUGAGUUCCAACCCCUUAUUUAAAAAAAAAUUUUUUUUAACGUUUAUUUACUUUUGAGAGAGAGAGAGAGAGAGUGCGUGUAUGAGUGAGGGAGGGGCAGAGAGAGAGAGGGAGACACAGAAUCUGAAGCUGGCUCCAGUCUCCGAGCUGCCAGCACAGAGCCUGAUACAGGCUCGAAUAUCCAUGAACCAAGAGAUCAUGACCUGAGCCGAAGUUGGACACUUAACCAACUAAGACACCCAGGGUUCCCAGCUCCAACCCCUUCUUGAGGCCAGGCUUCCCUCCUAUCCUUGGGUUUCAUGAGUCUUUGUAGUAAAUUGCCACCCUUUCCUUCAAGUUAGCUGCAGUUGGUUUCUAGGACUUGUAACAAAAGGACCUUGACAACUUACACAGACAAAAACCGCAGCCUUCCUAGCGCUUGCUCUCUAGUGGAAGGAAACAGACAAUGAAAAAGAAGUAGACUAUAUGGUCAGUCACAUAGUGAAAAGAACUAGGGAAAAUUAAAUCAGGAUAAGGGGAGCAGGGAUUUCUAGAAGGAAAGCAUUUAAAAUUCUUAGAGCUCCCUGGGUUCCUGGGUGGCUCAGUCGGUUAAGCGUCCAACUUCAACUCAGGUCAUGAUCUCACAGCUCAUGAGUUCAAGCCCUGCCUUGG